rnacentral:SRP_RNA from 1 species
AUAUGGAGACUCAUGCUGUAAUCCUAGCUACUGGGCAUAUUGAGGCUGGUGUAUCCCUUGAGCCUCUGGAGUUUUGAGCUGCAGUGAGUUAUGUCAAUUGGGUAUUUACACUAAAUUCAAUUUUAAUAUGGUGAGCCCCUGGGACUAUAGGGUAACCUGGUUGCCUAAGGAGGGGUGAAAUGAACCCAGAUCAGAAAUAGAGCAGGUCAAAGCUUCCAAUCAGUAGUGAGAUUGAGCCCGCAAGUAAAUUCCUAUACUUCCAGCCCGGGCAAGGUAGGAAAACCCAAUCUCUG